GGUUUUCGGACCAAGAGACCGGCGCACGGGUGCGUAACGCGUAUGCAAUCUACCUUUUGCAGAGGGAUAGCCCAGAGAAAUUUGGAUUAAUACCUCAUAGUAUAGUGAGUUGGCAUCAACACACUAUUAAAGUCACAACGGCAAAAGAUGAGCAUGCGUCCCAUUAGCUAGAUGGUAAGGUAACGGCUUACCAUGGCAACGAUGGGUAGGGGUCCUGAGAGGGAGAUCCCCCACACUGGUACUGAGACACGGACCAGACUCCUACGGGAGGCAGCAGUGAGGAAUAUUGGUCAAUGGACGCAAGUCUGAACCAGCCAUGCCGCGUGCAGGAUGACGGUCCUAUGGAUUGUAAACUGCUUUUGUACAGGAAGAAACACUCCUUCGUGAAGGAACUUGACGGUACUGUAAGAAUAAGGAUCGGCUAACUCCGUGCCAGCAGCCGCGGUAAUACGGAGGAUCCAAGCGUUAUCCGGAAUCAUUGGGUUUAAAGGGUCCGUAGGCGGUUUAGUAAGUCAGUGGUGAAAGCCCAUCGCUCAGCGGUGGAACGGCCAUUGAUACUGCUAGACUUGAAUUAUUAGGAAGUAACUAGAAUAUGUAGUGUAGCGGUGAAAUGCUUAGAGAUUACAUGGAAUACCAAUUGCGAAGGCAGGUUACUACUGGUUGAUUGACGCUGAUGGACGAAAGCGUGGGUAGCGAACAGGAUUAGAUACCCUGGUAGUCCACGCCGUAAACGAUGGAUACUAGCUGUUGGGGGCAACUUCAGUGGCUAAGCGAAAGUGAUAAGUAUCCCACCUGGGGAGUACGGGCGCAAGCCU
rnacentral:rRNA from 1 species